rnacentral:rRNA from 1 species
GACGAACGCUGGCGGCGUGCUUAACACAUGCAAGUCGAACGGAAAGGCCCUGCUUUUGUGGGGUGCUCGAGUGGCGAACGGGUGAGUAACACGUGAGUAACCUGCCCUUGACUUUGGGAUAACUUCAGGAAACUGGGGCUAAUACCGGAUAGGAGCUCCUGCUGCAUGGUGGGGGUUGGAAAGUUUCGGCGGUUGGGGAUGGACUCGCGGCUUAUCAGCUUGUUGGUGGGGUAGUGGCUUACCAAGGCUUUGACGGGUAGCCGGCCUGAGAGGGUGACCGGCAAAGUGGGGACUGAGAUACGGCCCAGACUCCGACGGGAGGAAGCGGGGGGGAUUAUGGCAAAAGGGGCGGAGGCCUGAGGCAGCACCGCCGGGUGGGGGAGGAGGGCCGGCGGGUUGAAAACCGCUUUCGCCGGGGACGAAGGGGGGGGGAGGGUAAGGGGUAAAGAAGCCCCGGCUAACUACGUG